rnacentral:rRNA from 1 species
GACGAACGCUGGCGGCGUGCUUAACACAUGCAAGUCGAACGGUCAAGCGCCGUCCUUUUUGGUCGGUGUGGAUGAGUGGCGAACGGGUGAGCAACACGUUAGUAACCUGCCCCCUUUUUCAGGACAACUGCAUGCCAGAGUGGCUAAUAGGGGAUAUAUUGGAUCUGUCGGAUGAUGGGUGUGGGAAAGUUAUUGUUUCGGUUGUGGAUGGGUUCGCGGCCUAUCAGCUUGUUGGUGGGGUGAUGGCUUACCAAGGCGGUGAUGGGUAGCCGGCCUGAGAGGGUCGACGGUCCCACUGGGGCUGCGACGUCGCCCAGACUCCGACGGGCAGCAGCAGUGAAUAAUACUGCAUAAUGGGCGGAAUGCUGGUGCAGCGACGCGGCAUGAGUGAUGGAGGCCGUCGGGUUGUGAUCCGCUUUCGGCGAAGAAGCAGGCCUGCCUUGUUUGUGGGUGGGUUGACGGUAGCUGGUCAAGAAGCGACGGCUAACUACGUG